GCCCGGCUAGCUCAAUCGGUAGAGCGUGAGACUCUUAAUGAGCCUCCCGGUUCUGAUAUAAUCUCAAGGUUGUGGGUUCGACCCCCACGUCGGGCU